rnacentral:lncRNA from 1 species
UUUCUUUCUUUUCUGUAGCCAGAAAAUUGUGGUGAGGCUGGAAAAUGGAGCCAGGGAAGAGAAUCUACCUGGCUUUGGCCUUUGCUGUCUAAUCUCUUGCUAUCAGGUUGCUUUCUGCAAAUUCUAUUCAUGAAAUCAGUUUCUCCUUUUACUCACUGUUGAGAGGAUUUUUAGAUAUUUCAUCACAUUGCUCUUUUUACCUCUCUCCUUCUCCUUUGUUACCUGCAUUGACUACUUACGAUGAAAUUGAUACAAUCUAAAGUUGAAUCUUGAAUAAUUGAUUAUGAGUUCUGGCUUGUCUUUACUUUUUUUUUUUUUAAAGAAGAGAGGUACAAAUAAAGGCCUAGUAGUUCUUAAGACAUGCAACCACAAUAACCUCAUAAGUGGGUUUAGUAUUAGGCUAGACACACCAGCUGAAAGCCUCAAAUCCAAACUGUUCAGUUGAUUAUCACAUUAGGUGACACGCUGGAUUGUUUAAAGUUCUAAAAGCUAGGUUAGUAUUAUUGUGCUAACAUCAAUGCUAAACAAAGCCUAAAUAACACCGAUGAGUCAAGUCUUUAGGUGAUAAUGUUCAUAAAGAUAGCCAAUCUCCUUUCUUUUACUUGUUGAAAUCCAGCUUUAGGGUGUGUAAACUCAAAAAUCUUAAGAGUCUAUUAAAGUCUUUCCUGCUAAAAUUCCUUUUUUGGCUUGUAUUACUUGGAAGGCAUAUAUUCAUUACUAGUUGCACAAAUGAAGCCAAUGCAUUAAUUCUUUUGUAAGAAACCUUCAUUAAACAAGAGAGCAUUGCAGCAGACAUAAUAACAAUACAGUCCAGCUGUAACAGAGAGUGCAUGACAGCAAUCAUAGAUCACUAAAGCACAACUGACGGCACGAAAGCCAGUCGAAAACAAAGUCAAGACAGCUGACAAGAAAGCCAAUUGAGACCAAAGAUCAAACAUCCAAACCCCAGAACAAAAGCGUGAUGACCCAAGGAUCACGGUCAACACCUUCACCAAUGACAGCAAGGAGUAGGAAAUAAACCCAAGGUAAUUGGGGGGGCUGUAAAACCAUUGAAUCCUGAGUCAUUCAUGGCCCUUGCUCUUGCAGAUGAUACAACUGUGUUUUGUGGAAAAAAUACGGGGGAACAACAACAAUAAAUGCAUUAAAUUUGAACUGGCCUUCUCUUUGUACUCUUCUCCUUGUCUGCUUUGCUUUCUCAGACUCUUCUAGCCUAGAUUAUGCUAUUCAGAUUUAGAAGUUAAGUACAGGUAUAAUUUUUUCUUUUCAUUUUUUAUUAUUCAAAGCAUCAUAUUUGAUAUUCAUGUGCGUGUUUUGGACCCAUAAGCCAAAAUUUCCUUCUCCAUUGUUUUACUUUUUUCAAAGCCGGUCCUGUAAAACGUACAUCUUUGGCUUGUUGCAAUGCAGCUUAUGUUACUCUGAUCAAUACAAAUGUAACGAUUAUUCGUUGUCAG